GAUGAACGCUGGCGGCGUGCCUAAUACAUGCAAGUCGAACGAAUGGAUUAAGAGCUUGCUCUUAUGAAGUUAGCGGCGGACGGGUGAGUAACACGUGGGUAACCUGCCCAUGAGACUGGGAUAACUCCGGGAAACCGGGGCUAAUACCGGAUAACAUUUUGAACCGCAUGGCUCGAAAUUGAAAGGCGGCUUCGGCUGUCACUUAUGGAUGGACCCGCGUCGCAUUAGCUAGUUGGUGAGGUAACGGCUCACCAAGGCAACGAUGCGUAGCCGACCUGGGAGGGUGGUCGCCCACCAGGGGACGGAGACACGGACCAGACUCCGACGGGAGGCAGCAGUAGGGAAUCUUCCGCAAUGGACGAAAGUCUGACGGAGCAACGCCGCGUGAGUGAUGAAGGCUCUCGGGUCGUAAAACUCUGUUGUUAGGGAAGAGCAAGUGCUAGUUGAAUAAGCUGGCACCUUGACGGUACCUAACCAGAAAGCCACGGCUAACUACGUGCCAGCCGCCGCAGUAA
rnacentral:rRNA from 1 species